ensembl:misc_RNA Metazoa_SRP Metazoan signal recognition particle RNA
GCCGGGUGUGAUGGUGUGCACCUGUAGUCCCAGCUACUUGGGAGGCUGAGGCGGGAGGAUGGCUUGAGCCCGGGAGGUGGAGGUUGCAGUGAGCCAAAAUCGUGCCACUACACUCCACCCUGGGCAACAGAGCCAGACCUUGUCUCAA